rnacentral:tRNA from 1 species
GUGGGUGUAGCUCAAUUGGUAGAGCAGCGGUCUCCAAAACCGUAGGUUGGUGGUUCGACCCCAUCCACUCAUGCCA